rnacentral:lncRNA from 1 species
ACGUGGAAUGCUGCUCUGAGUGCUGUCCCAUUCUUUAGUGAUUGAGGUUCCUUUGACAUUUGGGUCACUUGUCAUGUUUGGAAACUCUUUUUUUGUCUCCCCUUUCCUCACUGCUUUGACCUGGGGUGCAGUUUGGACUCUUGUUACUUGCUGCCCUAAGGAACCCGGAGUGCCCCGGACACCCCUGACAUGACCUGGGACGAGGUCGCCGCACCGUCACCCCCAGCCACGUCUCUGGAGCCGAAGAGGCAGGUCUGGCCACAGAUUUUUCAAGUGUUAGGGCAAUCUUGAUUGGUUUAUUCACAGGGAUCUGCUUAUCUCUAGCUCAGGUGAGAGGUGGUGAGAGCAUCCGAUUUCUUGUAAGAAAAUUCUUAAAUUCGAAAAUUAAAAUGUUAUAAUGCUGGUCAAUGUCACACCAUUUUACAGGUGGAAAAAUGUUACACCGGCUGCUGACAUUCUACUUGAGUUUAGCUGGAUAUUCCGGUUUUCCUCGAUUAUACCACAUUUUCUUCCCUUCAUUUCACCGCCAAGAAUAAACCAAGAAGCCCCCCUCCCUUAGUGCACAACUCUGCCACUUCCCAGCCCUGAGCAGGGACCCUCGUGCGCAGCCAGCUCUCGAACCACCCUCAGCCCUGUGAUGGACCACUCCUCCCUGACAUCUUGCCCCUUUAGCACUGUCCAAACUCUAUCCGUGCUGAGGAUGGGCUUCUGAAUGCCAGGCACAGAUAGGGCCCUACUCUGAACUCGUGCUGUGGUUAUCCACGUCGGGCGCGUGGCCUGCACAUUCACAACCCCGUUUUCAAGUUAAACGCGCACCUGUCAAUGUCCACAGCGAGAUUAUGAAUAGCUGGAGGUCAUGGACCACCCGGAUUAAUGAUGGCAAAAGACUUCGCCCAUAGCCUUGCAACAGAUGUUUGUUGACUGAAUGAGCGAAGGAGGAGAGAUGAACACGGGAGUCUGUCCUUCGGGGGCUAAGAGGAAGGGGUUUUCGCUUAAUAUUUGGAGCAAGGCAGCGUACACGCAGCAUUCUUCCGUGUGCUUCUCAUUCCACUCUCCGUUCAGCAGAUGACCUGACUCCCAUUCGCUCCCCGGACUGGGAUAACCUUUUCUCCCCCUCAGGAGAGGCAGCAGUUAGCCGAGGCCAUCGCGAGGACCGAAAGACAGUUCAAUUCAUUUUGAAACAACACAAACAAAACACUUUGCGCUAUCUUCCGAGUAGCUCAAGAAAAAAAAUGGGACUGCUGAAAAGAAAGCCUUUCCCCCGGGAUGUGCUGGCGUGCUUGCAGCUGAACUACCUGUGACCAUCCCACACGGCUUCCAGGAAGAGUAUUCAAAUAUUUAGCAGCAACAACAAAAACCCCACCCU